rnacentral:rRNA from 1 species
AUGUAUUGGAAGGCCUGGAAUGCUAUGACAACACCGAAAGAGAAGGGAGGCAUGGGAUUUCGGGAUCUUGAGCUGUUUAACAUAGCUCUCCUCGACAAACAUGGAUGGCGAUUGAUGACAAAUCCAAACUCGCUUUGCGCCAGAGUUCUCAAAGGUAGAUUUUUUCCCACCUGUGAUUUUAUGCAAGCUACAACCCCACACUUUUCCUUGGCAAUGUGGCGUGCUAUAAUCGCUGGGAGAGAUGCUUUCCAAGUUGGUCUUAUCAAACGCACUGGAGAUGGCAAGACGGUCUCUAUCUGGGAUGAUAAGUGGAUCCCCGACACCAUUUCUAUGUCUCCGACAGUCAGAAGUAAUAAUGCACAGCUGCAAACCGUUUCAAACCUCAUUGAUACUGUUAAUUGGUCAUGGAAAUCGGAUGGGAUUCAUCAAAACUUCAUCACCCCCGACGCGGAUGCUAUUCUCAAUAUCCCUCUGAGGCGAGGUGGGGGCGAUGAUGUGCUUGUGUGGGCUCUCGAAAGAUCGGGCUGCUAUACUGUCAGCGUAUCGUGCUCUAAUGACUCAUAA